CUACAUAUCCAAAGAGAUCUCUUUUGCCUGUUUUUAAAAAAUAAGCAGGUGAUUUCUGUAUUUGAACAAUUUUAUAUCGUAUAUGCUGCAAUCAUUAGGCAUGAUGGAGUGAGUCAAUGUACUUUUGAGUCUCCUUAUUUUUAUUUUGUGUUUACAUCAGACCUAUAACAUUCAAAAAACCUUCUCUUUUGUUGUUUAGUAUACAUACUUGUAUACGGGUACCUGUAUAUCAUCCAGCAGAUAAAACUGUCUUUUAUAUGUUUUUAUCAAAAAAAAAUCUUUUGUUUACUAAAAGGACAGCUUUAUUUGCUUUGCCAUAUGUUUCUACAAAAAGAUGAUGUUAAAAAGCAGGGUUUAUAAAAAGAGAAAAGGUCACAGCUGGUCUGCUAGUCAGUUUACCCUAAAAAUUGUAAAUAUUCUGUCUAUACUUUAUUCCCAUCCCUUCAGAGUAAAGAGAGAGUGUGAUCUGCCAGGACUCAGUUGCUGAUGUUGCAAAAUACUCAGGCUUGAGCAUGGCAUGGGGAUUUCCAUAACCCUGUCCUUCCAAUCUAGGGGAUAGACAGCAGCUCUUAUUAAAGGACAUUAAUUAUUUUGUAAGAUCUGUGAGAAGCAUUACCAUAUCAGUGGAACCUCGAGUUACUGGAUUAUAUACAGUAAUCAUCCAGUCUCAGCAGUUCUGUCAUUUUCUGUGGCAUGACAAACCAUUGAUGAUUACACUUAUUCCAAAUGUAUGAAAACGGUGUCCGCUUGUUUCAGUUCAAGCGGAAGAUAUUUAUUACUGACUUAAUAAGCUACAAGUUAGUUUCAUGUUUAAGUUGCAUAGCUUCUGAGUAAUAUUUUUCAUUAGGGCUCUUUUUCAUCUCCAGAGCCAGUGCAACUGUAAUUUUUAUUCACCUUGCCACAGGGUCUGUGUCUUUACUACGUGUGAAAUAGCUUCCAGCACACUGAUUAUAAAAACUGCUGGUUAAAUACCAAAAAUAUGAAGGGUUUCACAGCUAUAUACUUAAAACAUUUCAUUUUGGUGGUGUAACUGUUAUUGACAGUGUUUGUCUCGCACACAACUGAAUGUACACAUUGUUUACUAUUUGAAAAAAUACUGUUAGAAGUAUGCAUACCAUUCCAGUCAACCAAAGCUGUGGCAUAACUUUUUUUAUGUGCUCCUAAAUAAAAACAAGGUCAUUGGCAACUUGUGUCUGCUUUGUUUUCUCUUUUAAGAGUAUCUUCGAAGUGUUGUGAAUCGGUCUUAAUGGAGAAAAAAAUGCAAAUGUGCUACUAAUAUACAAAUGAGCCAGAUUUACUCCUGGUGGUUGAAGAUGUAAUGCAUUUACCAUUCGAUGCUAAAACACUUCUCACAAAGGCAUGAUGUCAAGUGGCCACAACUUUCUGCUGUGCAUCCUGAUGUUCCAGAGAUAACAUUAAGCACAGAACCACUCAUACACCUAAAGAGAAAACUGAAGUCCUUUCUGGAUGGUCAAUCUGAAGAAACUGAGAGGCGGUGUAAGAAGCAAAGGCUAUUAGUAGGUAUUUAUCCUUCUUUUGUUAUUCAAAUAAUGGCUUUCACUUAGCUUGUUGACACAUUUCACUAUUGAAAUCACUUGACACUUUUCAGUAUUUUCACAUAGAAAUUAGCUCCCACACUUAUCCCCACGAAAUUCAAAUGAGUUGUCUGCUCUGAAAUAUAAAAGCUAAGGUAAUGACAAAACAAUCCAGUCUGUAUUUCUGUGGAAAAGAGAUGCCUAAUUUUAAAAUAAAACUAAGUUAGAUUACAUUAAAAUAAAUUUUAAAUGAAGAAAUAAACCCCAGAAUACUCUGGGGAUUAUUACUCUGGACCAUAUACUGUAAUACCUCCAUUUGCACUAUGACUCAUCAUUUUUAAAUCUAACAGUGCCGCAAUCUAAUGUAAUACAAUUCCAUUAAGGGUAGCAAAGAGUUGGUAUGCCAGGUCUGACAUUCCCUACAAAUUAGCAUGGGAGAGAUCUAGCUAAGUCCUCAAACGAUGUGCAGGUCUGUCUCUGAUGAGUCAUUCUUCCUUCAAUGAACAAGUUGAAGAAUGACAGAAUAUGAGAGCCUUGCAAAUGAUCAGUACUUCAGAGACAAAUUCUAUAUUUGCUGCUCAAGCUGUAGAAGAAUCUCGGAGAGGUCAGUGUGUGUGUGUUGUGUGUGCUGCAGCUUUCAUGUGGGCAUGAAUGAUGCUGGAAGCCAGAACAUGGGCAGAAUCAAAGACAAUAAUAAAACUCUGGGAGCACAAUUGAAGAAUGAAACUCAUGGCCAAGUUAUCGUCUCUUCAGUUUUCCAGCGGAAGAAGAGAGGGAAGCCAGAAACAGACGCACAAUGCCCAUCAGUUCCUGGUUAUGUGGACAGUGCCCAUGCACUGUUUUGGUUUUUAUGACAGUGGGACUUUCAAUGAAGGUUAUAAUCUAUUAAAGAGGGAUGGGAUCCACCUACCUAGAAGAAGCAGGGCAAUCUUUGGCAACAGGCUGGCUAAUCUAGUGUGGGUGGCUUUCAACUGAAGGCCUUGGAGGAGUGAAGUCAAAAAUGGCAAUGUUCAUGCCAUUGCAAUAGACUGGGGAAUGAGCCAGGCCAACCGGAACAGUGACAUGCUCCUUAGCUGCUUUCCUUGAGCCAGAAGGCCAGCUGCCUCAAGAGUGGGUAUAUUUACAGGCAAUCCUUGUGCGUCCCUCUAGGAAUACCUGCAUCCUCAGCUCCCUUUUAUUCUCUAAAGUGCCUAUACCAGUGCGUGGAGCAUGGGGAAUAAACAGGAAGAGCUAGUGCUAGUGCAGUUGCAAGGCCAUGAUCUCACUGUAAUCAUGGAGACAUGGUGGGAUAUCUUAUACAACUGGAAUGCUUUCAUGGAUGGCUACAGCUGUUGCAGAAAAGGCAAGCUAAGCAAGGCAUGGCAGUGGAGUUGCUCUGCAUUUGAAAGAGCAACUUGAAUUUAUUAAUCUCUGCCUAGAUGUGAAUGAGGAACGAAUUGAGAGCUUAUGAAUGAGAAUUAAGGGACAGGUUAAUAUGGGUGACACCGCUGAGGGUGUUCACUACAGGCUGCCUGACCAGGAGGAGGAAGUUGAUGAGGCCUCCUGAGGUAGCUGGAAGAAGCCUCAUGAUCACAGGCACUUGUUCUCGGGGAAUUCAAUUUUAUAUUUGUUAUAUUUGUUGGAAAAGCACACAUAGACCAGGAGGUUCCUGCAAAGCAUUAUGAUGACUCUCUGAUCCAAGUGGUGAAGGAACCAAUGAGGAGAGAUGUGCUGCUACUUUCACUUAAAAGAUCCGGAUUAUUUGAACCCAAUGCAUAUUGUGUACAAAACAUUGUUUUGUUGUACAAUAAAUGUCAGGUUAUACUGUGAGAUUUCAUUCUGUAUCUUUACAUUACAUGGUGGCGGAAGUUUUUUGUGUAAAGUUGGUGACCUGUAACCAAAGAUUUUUUUUUUAGCUCGUAGCCUGAAGACUUCCAGCUAGAACACUGUUAGCAAGUACUUUCUGCUGCCUUCUCCUAUAUAUAUGUGCCUUCUAUGCAUGCUAAAUGCAUCAUUUCUCCCAAACUGCUCCAAAUCUUUUCCCUUUCACAGUUGAGCUUUAAAUGCUAUUGUGUAGAUAGAAUACAGUGCACCUUUUCAUGUUGGCUGGGUGUAAUAAUUUCUUUGAGAUAUUCUGAAUCAGAGUGGGUAGUGACUGAACAUCUGCAAAACAUAUAAAACUCUAAAAACACACCCUAUUUCAAGAACUUUCCAGUGCUUACCUCCUCCAUCUGGACAUGAAGAAAUAAACUCAGACUUGCACAAGUAGCCAAGAUUCCUACUGAAGUCAGCUUAAUUGUGCAAAAAGGAAAUUUGUCUCAGAAAGCAAAUUAAGGAAUACUUUUCAUGCUCUUUGAAAAUCAUUUUUAACUUGGUAUUUAAGAAAUAAAUACCAAGUUAAGACACUUUAAAUUCUAAAUAAAUUGUUGCUGUAGUUACAUUUAACUUAGCCAAAUAUCCCUUUAAGAUUUGUUAAAAAAGAUGGAGAUUUAGGCGUCGUAUGGCAAACUUUGCUAAGUUAUAUUACAAUUACUUAUCACAGAAUUACAGAAGACGUAUUUUUAAUUUCUAAUAUAAAAAUACUCCAGAUUGUAAUGCUUUUUUCUUCAUUAUAAACGUAACUCUACUAUUUCAACUGUACCCUCUCAGAAUUGUUUUUCUCUUUUCCUUCCCCCUCUCCCCAGAAUAAAAAUAUUUUGUAUUUUAUCUUGGAUGUCCUUAUGGAUUACCAGCAAAAUCCAGAUUUUCAGAAUAAAGGCUACAAUCCCCAGUCAGGAGAAAGAAAGUGAACAUAUUAAAAAUGCUUGCUCUAUUAAGCACAGGAAUUUAAUUCACAUGCACUAAAACAUACACAAAGUAUUAUCCUUUUGAAUUUUUUAAAAAAUGUUCUUUUAACUGAUUGUCUUUCCAUUCUUGUGGUGUAGUAGCUUCAUUAGUGCUCAAAUCACCAUCGCAGUUCCCACCGUGCAAGCCCAAAACACAAAAAAGCAGAGAGAAAAACGAUAAAACUCCUCUAAGGAUAAUAAAUCAGGAAGAAAUCACAGAUAAUAAAAGAAACUGAGCACUUUCUCUGUGCAUUUCACUUUUAAUAUUAUGAUUGGUUUUUAAAUUCAGUUAUACUGUUGAGCUAAUUCACUGUCAUCAGUACAGGAACCCACUGGUGUGCAAAGUCAUCAUAAAAUUUAGGUAUUUACUGAUUUACUCAGAGUACCAAGAUGCAGAAAAUGGUUUGUUAUAGUCUGUGAUUUUUUGCUGCCUUGAAGCAGCACUAAAAAGUUUUAAGCAGUUUGUAAGUAAAGAAAACAAAUACCAAGCACAUCAGUGUACCUUUGUUCAGCAUGUAAAACCUUGGGUGGUUUUAAGAGCACUGCAAAAAUACGGUGAAAAACAGUUAUCAGUCUUGGGAAAACCUGAGCUUGCUGUGCUGCGUGAAAAAGGAUUAAAAGGACUAUAAUUGAAAUUCCUUACAAAACUGUUGUUUUUUUCUCCCUGUGUUGAGCAGUUCGAGCUAAAACUUGCAAGAAGCAAACAUCAGGUGCAUCUCAGUGCAUACUGGUUGGUGAAGCAGGUGAGCGUCUCAUGUUGGUUCCUUCCUCAGCAAUGCAAGGCCAUGUAAGGCCACCACAACUGAGAUGGUUUCAGCUUGACCACAGGGAUCAUAAGAAGACAGGAGCAUGGUCUUUCUGCAGAGGACUUCUGUGCACUUCCAAGAAGGGUAGCAGACAUUAGCUGUGUAUUGAAAAGCAUGUCUUUGGAGAGAUUUUAGGAACAAAAGCUGGCUCAGCUCCAUCCCAUUGCGAUUAGAAAUACCUGUGACCCAGUUGCAUGGUUCAGCUCCCAAGAAAAAUAGAAAUAAUCACUAUGAAGUUAAUAUUUUCUGUUCCCUUUGUUUUUUCUUACUUGAAGAAUCCAAGUUAGGCAAUAACUACGAAGUUAGGUGGAGUACCGCAUCUUAACCUGGUCCUGUAUGUACCAAACAGAGUAGGGAAACGAUGAAACUGGUUGUUGGCAAAACCACUGAUAGAAGUUUGUAUCUAGUCAGCAACCACAUUUUAUGGAUGUGGAAAUACCGCAGUGGUUUGUAGGCUGAGAUUAGCAAUGCUUCAGUCCACUGCUGCCAGGAGGUGAUUACUUGGCUCCUUUUCAUGGCUAUAUGCACAGUGAAAAUAUAUCUGUA